UUUAGGGAGACCUACCCAUUGAAGAAUCGAAAGCGGAAAGCGAAUAGAGAAUCAAAUGGUCUACUCUAGGUCGGUCGAGAAUUGGUCAAGUCUCUUUCAAAGUAUUAUAUUUCCGGUGAUCACCAGCAACUAGGAAAGACCUAGACUGCUGGUGAUAAACCAGCCAGAACCUUGAAAACUGCAUAUAGAAAGAUAAGAGUAAGAGUAAGUGGUCAAGCUAAUAAGGGCUCAUGGUGGAUACCUAGGCACACAGAG
rnacentral:misc_RNA from 1 species